UUUUGUGGCGCCUAGGCGCUGUGUUAUAGUUGGUUUUCUUCCUUCUUUCUUCCAUCGUCUUCCACGUGCAUCUUGAUGCUUCUUCUUGCCCAUUCACUUCUAUGAAACUUUGAUUUUUUUCCACCCUUCAAACUCACCAUUUCAUCAAAUUUGGUUUACCUAUAAAACAACACGAAUACCCGCAUCAAAACGUUCUACUUUUCUUGAAAACAACCAAAUAUUUCAAGCUUAAGAGACAUUAAAUCAAUGAGUGAAAUUCACUCAUCAGCCACCUUAGAGAGGAAGUGUAAUGACGUAAGCCUUGUGUUCGGCUGUUCUCUUACGUAUUCCCCAGCAUUCGAACAUAUGACCUCCCUUCAAGAGAGACUCAUGCACGUGUCCUUUGGACCGACCCUUCGCCCGCUUAGAAGUGGAUUCGAACCAGUGACACAAGGAUUUUGACUCCUUUGCUCUAACGAGUGGAAUAGAAAGGGCCUUAAAAAAGAACGAGAGGGUGAUGGGCUACUUUAGUCUAUAUGUUGCUCAUGAGCCACCGCCUGUAGAACGCAACACAAAGUCAUGAGGGAUAAGAGGACAGAUGCCCUCUUAAAUCGGACAGUAUGCAAGAGAAUAGCCAGGCACAAGGCUUGGGUCGCUACAAAAAAUGCAUUUUUUUUUGCAAUGACCCACCCCCUGUGUUUGUAGCAAACAAAGCUUUGUGUCCAACCAUUGGCUUAUGUAUUGUCCGAUUUGGGAGACCUUUAACCCAUUUCACGUAUCACGAAUUUUUGUCGCGUCAUCAGGAUUCGAACUCAUGACCUUUUCCUUAAGAAAUAUUAAGUCUCAAGAGCAAACAGUACGUAAGCUAACGGCUUAGGUACAGAAGCCGAGUCGUUACAGGAAGGUUGUAUGAUCGCUAUAUAGAUGGCUUGAAGUGUUCAAAUGACAAUGUAAC
rnacentral:lncRNA from 1 species